rnacentral:rRNA from 1 species
GUCCACGCCGUAAACGUUGGGCGCUAGGUGUGGGCCACAUUCCACGUGGUCUGUGCCGCAGCUAACGCAUUAAGCGCCCCGCCUGGGGAGUACGGCCGCAAGGCUAAAACUCAAAGGAAUUGACGGGGCCCGCACAAGCGGCGGAGCAUGCGGCUUAAUUCGAUGCAACGCGAAGAACCUUACCUGGGUUUGACAUGUAGGGAAAUCUCGUAGAGAUACGAGGUCCGUAAGGGCCUUGCACAGGUGGUGCAUGGCUGUCGU